UGGGGCAGCUCACUACUGGAAACAGCAGUGGGAAACCCAGUAUUAAGGUUACUUUCGUCACUGGUGCUUUUCCCAGUGUUGCUGGCAGCAGGUGUUGCUGGCACCUAUUGAGACAAAUCCCUUCCCAGGCUGCUUCCUGGAUUAAUGUGAUCCCAUUCUUGAACACAACACUAAACUCUCUGAAAGGAGUGAGUGUCUCUGUUGGAAAGACACAGUCCUUCUCAUGCUUCUGUGGGAACAUUUCCAUGACUAAGUGUUAACAGAUUAGGUUGAUGGUUAUUCUAAUAUCUUCCCCCAAAUAUCUGUUCUUUUCCCUUCCCAUAGAAGAAUGAUAUUGUAAGACUCAAGGUCUUUCUCCUGAAAUAGAAAAUUCCAAGAGAUCUGACUGAGUAUACCAAACUACAUGUACUUUAUACGCAGCUCCCUGGCUAUGCUUCCCUUCAGCUUGCCAUACACUUCUAAAAGUUUCUAGUCUGUGGCAUACACAGUUCCUAUUGAAAACAAUGGAUGGAUAAAGAUGCAGUCUGCACACCCAGAACAGAUAUUUCCUUCUCUGUUUUCUGCCCCGGAGUGAUGCAUCUUAACACAAAGAAUCUCCUCAUGUCUGUGGCAUUUCAUACUGAUUUCUUAAUAAUGACAAGAGCUGUUGAUAAAUAAAUCCUCUCUGGUUAGCCGCAGUAAGAGGCAUGUUUUGUUUGGCAUUGUUCUGGGGAUCAUAGAGCCCCAGAGAGGGUUUAGGAGAGCAGUGCAUAUCCUUCAUAACAAAGGUUGAUGUUGUGUAAGCUACAUGUCCUGCCUCCAGAAGCAUCAUCAUAAAGAACUGAGUGAAACUUUUCUCCAAAAUAAGUAGUUCCAGGUGGUGAGCCUUGUCAAGCACAAAGCCAGCACUCCGAGGCAGCUCAGUUACGUCACUGACAUAUCUUUCAUGGCUCAACAUGCAGGUCAGAAAACACAGUUCCAUAACUUUUUCUUUUUUGUUCUUUGGUUGGUUGGUUUGUUUGUUUUCUGAGUGGCAACUUAUGACCAACUAUUCUGGCUGCUAUAUAUUACCUGCAACAUUUUGAAUAGUGCAGUAUAAGCCCAAAUUCUUUUCUGAAUCCUGAUGUGUAUGUAUUGCAAUAUCAAUUAACUCCAUGUUUUUUAAAGAAAUUAAGUGUACAUCAUUGGGAAUUUACAGUAUAUGA